GUAAGAUUAUUCUGGUUAGACUUUCUUAGCAGACCAAAGCUGUGUAGGCACUGUAAUCCAAUGAUUAGGGGCUCAAAUAUUACAAUUGUAGCACCUAAACCUCACACAAGCUCAACUGAAAAAGCUAGAUGCUUGACUCAUUACUAUGCUCGACUCUCUAUGCUUCAACUACCAAUAUCCACAGUUGAAGCUUGAAGAGGUUUUGUAGAGGCCUAACAGUGGAUUUGGUGUAUGCUCUAGAAGUUCCGUAGGAUAAGGAACAGAUGAUUCUGUGUAUGGUUGGUAGAUUAUGAUGGUGGUGAUUGCAGGACUGUGCAAGUAAUUCUGCUGUAUGAUUGAGCUAGCAAAGAGAAAGCAAUCCAGCGGAAUGAGCCAAAAUAAUUAUCUUAUUUAAGGCAUGUUUAAGAAUGGCUUCGGGAUUCAGCUAUUUCCUAAUAGCCGUCUCUGGUGCUGGAAUACAGCUUCAACAUCAACAUGUACAGAUCCUGACGUCAAAUGAAGUUUACAUGCUUGAAAUGAACAAAAGAUUUCUAUUUCAAAAAUAACAACUAGGCCUCAGUCCCAAAAGAUUUCUACUUCAACAACAUAAGUAAUAUCUCUUUACCCCAUCUCCGUUUAAGAUGUGAAUUUGAAAUGUAAGCAGAUCUAAUACCAAGUUAUAUUAAUGAACUACAGAGUCUUGGGUACCUCCUUAAGCCUCUUCACAAAAUUACUUCACUACCAUGGAAGGAAGAAAAACAUAUCUUCAUUAAGAUGGAGAGCAGAUCCAAUAAAAGGGUGUUUGAGUCACACAAACACACCGAGGAAGGGACAGAAUUUAGUAAAUGAGGUUGGAAGUAUUACAUCGAAGGCACAGUGUGGGAAAAGCAUGUGAUAGAUUGUAAAAAAAAGUGAAGAGAAACACAGUGACAUUUAGAAGCAUGUACAAAGUUGAGAGCAAAAUGAAAGACCGGCUCAUGAGGUAACAUAUACUCACCAGAGAGCUCCCACUUCUUGAAACUCACUAACCAUGAGUCUGAACCAACCUGUGAAGGUAAAACUUGAUCGACCCAAACACGAUAUUGUUUCCCCUGUUUGUCAGCAUGACAUGUUCCGAAUG
rnacentral:lncRNA from 1 species